rnacentral:rRNA from 1 species
UACGGGGGGAGCAAGCGUUGUUCGGAUUUACUGGGCGUAAAGGGCGCGUAGGCGGUCAGCACAAGUCAGUUGUGAAAUCUCCGGGCUUAACUCGGAAAGGUCAACUGAUACUGUGCGACUAGAGUGCGGAAGGGGCAACUGGAAUUCUCGGUGUAGCGGUGAAAUGCGUAGAUAUCGUGAGGAACACCAGAGGCGAAGGCGGCUACCUGGACAAUUGCUGACGCUCAGGCACGAAAGCGUGGGGAGCAAAAGGG